rnacentral:ncRNA from 1 species
CAAAAAACGUUGACGAGGACAAAUGGAUAAGAACAAGUAUUCACAGAGAGUCGGGCUUGCUGGAAACCGAUAAUACCUCUUAUCCUAACUCACCUCGGAGUGCUAGUCUGAAAGAUUAAGUAGGAUUAGCCGAGUGUUCACUUAAACACUCGUUACAAAAAAGUAACAGUUUGAAGUUAUCGUUUAAAACUUUAAGCUGCUACACGAGUUGCUAUUUCGUAAGGAUAGCAUAAAGUUGGGUGGUACCGUGAAAAGAAGUCUUUUCAUCCCUUCA